CCCAAACGCUUCAGUAAUGGUUGCGAUUGAUCAAACGUUGCCAGAUGCUGUCCUGUUGGAAAUUCUUCUUUACGUGAUCCUGGAGGAGGGGUGAUGCUACAUUACUAAGUCCGUCUUUGGUUUGUUCCAAAUUCAGAAGUCUGCUGUACUGUAUACAGACUCCUUUCGAAAGAGGGCACAAUCCAGCUGGCUUGACGGAGUAUUUUCUUUUACAUAUUUGAUUAGAGGUUUAAAAAGGUGGAACAAAAUGGAGAACAAGUCUAAGCCAUGUCAGGAAUUCAACAAAAUGUACACCCUGCAGACACUGUGACGAGGUUUACAACAACUGCUUACCAGGU